GACGAACGCUGGCGGCGUGCCUAACACAUGCAAGUCAACUUGACGGAAGGAGCAAUCUGACCGUAGAGUGGCGCAAGGGUGCGUAACGCGUAAGUAACUUGCCCAAGGUAAGGAAUAACGUCGAGAAAUCGGCGCUAAUACCUCAUAAUGCAGCGGAUCCGCAUGGAUAUGUUGUUAAAGGUUUACCGCCUUGGGGAUAGGCUUGCGUCUGAUUAGCUAGUUGGUGUGGUAACGGCACACCAAGGCUACGAUCAGUAACUGGUCUGAGAGGAUGAUCAGUCACACUGGAACUGAGACACGAUCCAGACUCCUACGGGAGGCAGCAGUGAGGAAUAUUGGGCAAUGCUCGAAAGAGUGACCCAGCAACGCCGCGUGGAGGAUGAAGGUAUUCUAUAUCGUAAACUCCUGUGAGAGCAGACGAAAGACAGAUUAUUAAUCUGGAUGACUGUAUGCUCAGAGGAAGCCCCGG
rnacentral:rRNA from 1 species